AGAAUAUAUAUUAUAUAUAUUUUUGAUCCAUCUUUAUACACAGUGUGAGGGUUCUGUGGGUGGAAAUGGACACUCAGCUAAACUGCCAGAGCAGACAAACAAACACUAAAUUAAUCUUGGUCUGGAAAAGAGCCAUCGCCGGCAGCCGAGGCUGCCCAGGGCUGUUGGAAAGGAACAUCCCAUGUUGGGAUGGGAACAUCUCCGAGCACGGAGCACCAGAGCCAGGGGGGCUCAGGGCCCCCAGGCACCCUCCCCACUGGCCACAGGGGAGAGCAGAAAUCUCCCUUUUUCGGGCAUUUCUGCCCAGGUUGUGUCGUUCACCCUUUCCCUGCGAGCUCUGCAUGGCCCAGCAGAGGUGAGGAGCCUUGGCACAGCCCUGGUGAGCCCAGAGCAGGGGCUGCCAUCCCUUCCCAUGCACGGCUCCCAUCCCAGGCCAGGAAUCACCGAAUCGACACCGAAUCACUUUAUCCCCUCCCCCAAAAAAAAACAAAACAAAACAAAACAAAAAAAAAAAUCAUCAAAUCAAGUCGGUUCCUUUAAAGAGAACUGAAAAGUGCAGGUUCCCGCGGUUUGGCAGGUCGAGUUACACGUGUUUAAUACUUCCAGUCUUCCCUAGGUUCCCACGGGGGGCUCUUAUUGCUCAGAAUAUCCAGAAUCUCUCC